rnacentral:sRNA from 1 species
UUCCUGCAGGCCACAGGCUGCAGCGUGGAGUCGGCCCUGGAGGCUGCAUCCCUGCACCCCGCCCAGUUGCUGGGGCUGGAGAAGAGUAAAGGGACCCUGGACUUUGGUGCUGACGCAGGUGAGGGCCUGUCGCAGGGUCACCGGGCAGCCUGGCCCUGCCUGUAGACUCUGUUGUUCCUGGGGCGGCCUGGACAGGGCCAGGGAGGGUGGGUCCUCCCUAGCUCCUUCCUCUCAGGUGGGCUGCCGGCUGCCAGCCUCAGUUGUAGCCCCGUGUUGCCAUCAGGCCAGGCUUUCUGGUGUUGCAGACAAGGUCAGGCAAGGGGUUGCAGGGAGCAUUGUCCAGCACCUCUGUCCAUUUGUGAUGGGUCAGGGUGUCUUCUACUAGUCGUGUCUCUGGGCCUCGGUUUCCCCACCAGCGUCGGGUUGUUGGGGAGCAGCUCUGGGGUAGGUGGGCGGCCCCACUCCUGCCCCCUACUCAUUGCCCGGCUCUGUCCCAGACUUCGUGGUGCUCGACGACUCCCUUCACGUCCAGGCCACCUACAUCUCGGGUGAGCU